CCUACGGGAGGCAGCAGUAGGGAAUCUUCCGCAAUGGACGCAAGUCUGACGGAGCAACGCCGCGUGAGUGAUGAAGGUUUUCGGAUCGUAAAGCUCUGUUGCCCUAGACGAACAGCAAGGUGAGUAACUGCACUUUGUGUGACGGUAUAGGAGAAGAAAGCCCCGGCUAACUACGUGCCAGCAGCCGCGGUAAU
rnacentral:rRNA from 1 species